UAUUUUGUUAUUAUAUUUUUUAUUAAUAAUUUUGGUUGUUUAUAUUAAUCAUUAUUUUGUUUUUGUAGUUGUUUUUAAUUUAAUUUUUUUAAUUAUAGUUUAUUAGUACUGUAAGGGUAUUAAUUUUUAAUUUUUUAUAAGUUAAUUUUAUUUAUUGUACCUUGUGUAUCAGGAUGUAUUUAUAAUAUUUUAUUUAUUUAUUUUUCUCGAUUUUAUAAGAGUUAAGUGUAUAUUAUAUAUAAUGUUUUAUAAUUAUUUUUAAUAUGUAUUUGGUAAUGAAAUGUUAUUCGUUUUUAAUGUUAUCUAGUUUUUCAGGAAAUGAAUUUAAUUCAUAUGUUUUCUUUAAUAAUUUUAUUUUCAUUAAUUUUAUUUAAGUUUAUAUAAAUACUUUUAGGGAUAAGCUUAGUAAGUAGAUUAUUUAUAAUUAAUUGAUUUUAUUAUAUUUUAUGGAUUUAAAAGUGAUUAUUGAUUUGAGGAUGUAAAAUUUUUAUUUUUUAUUAUUUGUUAUUUGUUUUUUGAUUUAAAUUUUAUACUGAAUAUAAAUAUUUAAUUUUUUAUUAAUUAAUAUUAUUUUAUUAUUAGUAAAUUUUAAUUUUUGAUGUUAAUUAUUUUAAAUUAAUUCAGCAAAAUUUGUGUUCGACUGUUUAUCAAAAACAUUUUUUCUUGAUUUUUUUUUGAAGUAUGACCUGCCCAUUGAUAUAAUUGUUUAACGGCCGCGGUAUUUUGACUGUGCAAAGGUAGCAUAAUCAUUAGUCUUUUAAUUGGGGACUGGAAUGAAUGGUUAAACGAAAUAUAUACUUUAUUUAUAUUAUUUUUUAUUGAAUUUGAUUAUUAAGUAAUAAGGCUUAAAUUUUGUUAUGGGACGAGAAGACCCUAUAGAGUUUAAUAUUAUUAAUUAUUAAUUUAUUGGUUAGUUAAUAUUUUUAUUAGUUUUGGUAUUUGGUUGGGGUGAUUAUAAGAUAUAUUUAACUCUUUUUAAUUAAAUAAUAUUGAUUUGUAGUUUAUUGAUCCUUUAUUUUGAUUAUAAGACUAAAUUACCUUAGGGAUAACAGCGUUAUUUUUUUUGAGAGUUCUUAUCGACAAUGAAGAUUGCGACCUCGAUGUUGGAUUAAGAUAAAUUUUGGGUGUAGAAUUUCAAUUGAUUAAGUCUGUUCGACUUUUAAAAUCUUACAUGAUCUGAGUUCAAACCGGUGUGAGCCAGGUUGGUUUCUAUCUAUAAAUUUUGUAAAUAUUUCAGUACGAGAGGACCAAAUAUUUUAAAUAAUUUAUUUGUUUAUUUGUGUUUAAUUUUAAUU
rnacentral:rRNA from 1 species